rnacentral:rRNA from 1 species
CAUUAAGCGGAGGAAAAGAAACCAACAGGGAUUGCCCCAGUAACGGCGAGUGAAGCGGCAGCAGCUCAAAUUUGAAAUCUGGCCCCCCGGGGCCCGAGUUGUAAUUUGCAGAGGAUGCUUUUGGCGAGGUGCCUUCCGAGUUCCCUGGAACGGGACGCCGCAGAGGGUGAGAGCCCCGUCCGGUCGGGCGCCGAGCCUCUGUAAAGCUCCUUCGACGAGUCGAGUAGUUUGGGAAUGCUGCUCUAAAUGGGAGGUAUAUGUCUUCUAAAGCUAAAUACCGGCCAGAGACCGAUAGCGCACAAGUAGAGUGAUCGAAAGAUGAAAAGCACUUUGAAAAGAGGGUUAAACAGCACGUGAAAUUGUUGAAAGGGAAGCGCUCACGACCAGACUUGGGCCUGGCGGAUCAUCCAGCGUUCUCGCUGGUGCACUCCGCCGGGCUCCAGGCCAGCAUCAGUUCGCGCCGGGGGACAAAGGCUCGGGGAAUGUAGCUCCCCCGGGAGUGUUAUAGCCCCCUGCGCAAUGCCCCGGGGCGGACUGAGGCCCGCGCGUCCCGCAAGGAUGCUGGCGUAAUGGUCGUCAGCGACCCGUCUUGAAACACGGACCAAGGAGUCGUCUUCGUAUGCGAGUGUUCGGGUGUCAAACCCCCUACGCGUAAUGAAAGUGAACGCUGGUGAGAGCCUCGGCGCAUCAUCGACCGAUCCUGAUGUUCUCGGAUGGAUUUGAGUAGGAGCAUACGGGGCCGGACCCGAAAGAAGGUGAACUAUGCCUGUAUAGGGUGAAGCCAGAGGAAACUCUGGUGGAGGCUCGCAGCGGUUCUGACGUGCAAAUCGAUCGUCAAAUAUGGGCAUGGGGGCGAAAGACUAAUCGAACCUUCUAGUAGCUGGUUUCCGCCGAAGUUUCCCUCAGGAUAGCAGUGUUGGUCUCAGUUUUAUGAGGUAAAGCGAAUGAUUAGGGACCCGGGGG